AGAGUUUGAUUCUGGCUCAGGAUUAACGCUGGCGGUACGUCUAAUACAUGCAAGUCGAACGGAGCACUUGUGCUCAGUGGCGAACGGGUGAGUAACACGUAGGUAACCUGCCCUUAAGACGAGGAUAACCAUUGGAAACGAUGGCUAAUACUGGAUUGAAAGCAGACUCGGCAUCGAGACUGUUUAAAAGAUGCGAUUCGCAUCGCUUAAGGAGGGGCCUGCGGCGCAUUAGUUAGUUGGUAGGGUAAAGGCCUACCAAGACGAUGAUGCAUAGCCGGACUGAGAGGUUGAACGGCCACAUUGGGACUGAGAACGGCCCAAACUCCUACGGGAGGCAGCAGUAGAGAAUCUUCGGCAAUGGGGGGAACCCUGACCGAGCGAUACCGCGUGAAUGACGAAAUACUUAGGUAUGUAAAGUUCUUUUAUUUAGGAUGAAGAGCAUAUAUAGGGAAUGAUAUAUGAGUGACAGUACUAAAUGAAUAAGCCCCGGCUAACUAUGUGCCAGCAGCCGCGGUAAUACAUAGGGGGCAAGCGUUAUCCGGAAUUAUUGGGCGUAAAGGGUGCGUAGGCGGCUAUUUAAGUUUAAGGUGUAAGUGCAAGGCUCAACCUUGUGAGGCUUUAAAAACUGGAUAGCUUGAGGUAGACAGAGGCAAGUGGAAUUCCAUGUGUAGCGGUAAAAUGCGUAAAUAUAUGGAGGAACACCAGUGGCGAAGGCGGCUUGCUGGGUCUAAACUGACGCUGAGGCACGAAAGCGUUGAAAGAAACAGGAUUAGAUACCCCGGUAGUCCACGCCGUCAACGAUGAGUACUAAGUGUUGGAGAGAUUCAGUGCUGCAGUUAACGCAAUAAGUACUCCGCCUGAGUAGUACGUGCGCAAGCAUAAAACUCAAAGGAAUUGGCGGGACCUCGCACAAGCGGUGGAUCAUGUUGUUUAAUUCGAGGAUACGCGAAGAACCUUACCAGGCCUUGACAUCCCUUGCAAAGCUAUAGAGAUAUAGUAGAGGUUAUCAAGGAGACAGGUGGUGCAUGGUUGUCGUCAGCUCGUGUCGUGAGAUGUUGGGUUAAGUCCCGCAACGAGCGCAACUCUUAUCGUUAUUUGCCAUCAUUAAGUUGGGCACUAUAACGAGACUGCCAGUGAUAAAUUGGAGGAAGGUGGGAAUGACGUCAAAUCAUCAUGCCCCCUAUGGCCUGGGCUACAAACGUGAUACAAUGGUUGGAACAAAGGGAGGCAAAGCUGUGAAGCCAAGCGAACCCCAUAAAAACAAUCUCAGUUCGGAUUGAAGUCUGCAACUCGACUUCAUGAAGUCGGAAUCGCUAGUAAUCGUAGAUCAGAACGCUACGGUGAAUAAGUUCUCGAGGUUUGCACUCACCGCCCGUCA
rnacentral:rRNA from 1 species